GUUUACUGAGACACAAGGAAAUAGCUCCAAGGGUGACAUCCAUCACAUUCACGCAGCGACUUGCAACAGUUUGCUCUAAACCACACUCUGUGAGUAAGCGCUGCAGGUGGAGAUCAAAGCACACCUCAGUGGGUUCUGGGUCAUGCACAGCCACAAAUCUGAGAGGGGAAGAGGUCUUCCCAACAUUUACAGAACUGCUUUGGAAGCUCUGCAUGUCUAAGCUUCAGCUUGCAGGUGGAAUCCUUCAGUACUGCAAGCUCUGA
rnacentral:lncRNA from 1 species